rnacentral:rRNA from 1 species
GUGCCAGCAGCCGCGGUAAUACGUAGGUGGCAAGCGUUGUCCGGAUUUACUGGGCGUAAAGAGCGCGCAGGCGGUCAUUCAAGUCGAGUGUGAAAGCCCCCGGCUCAACUGGGGAGGGUCACUCGAUACUGUUUGACUCGAAGGCGGGAGAGGGAAGUGGAAUUCCCGGUGUAGUGGUGAAAUGCGUAGAUAUCGGGAGGAACACCAGUGGCGAAGGCGACUUCCUGGCCCGUUCUUGACGCUGAGGCGCGAAAGCUAGGGGAGCAAACGGGAUUAGAUACCCCGGUAGUCCUAGCCGUAAACGAUGGACACUAGGUGUUGGUGGUAUCAACCCCGCCAGUGCCGUAGCUAACGCAUUAAGUGUCCCGCCUGGGGAGUACGGCCGCAAGGCUAAA